UAUGUUGAUGUUUUUAGUCUUUCAGCAGAUACUUAUAUGCAUAUAUUUGAUUUCACUUAAUAAUAAGCACCCUCCUCACAAAUUAGUAUUUCUGUCACUCUAGAGUUGCUGGCCAUGUUUAACCCUGCAAUGACCAAUACACUUCCUGCUCAGACAAACCUGUAUUCUGAAUCCUCACAGCACAGGGCUCUUGUUGACCAGGCAAAGGAACUAUCACUCUCCUUCAGGAGUAACCAGGCCAUUAAACCAGAGGACUGGAAGCUAGUAAUGCUGUUCGUUCAGGUGGAUGAACUCUGUGUAUGUCAGGGGCAGGUCAGUAACACUAACCUUACACAUAUCUGGAUUUCAAUUAAAGUCCACUUCUAAUGACCCCACAAUCUUUCAGAUAGGAAACCUAUGAUUUUGAAAUCAAAAUAUUGUGCAAAAGAUCUGUCAUAAAAAUAAUUGCAAUCUGGCUCAAAAUCGGGAUCAGGCAAUUAUGUAAUAAUUGCGACAGCCCUACUUGCAAGGUCCGUGUACGUGAGUAUAAUACCUUGUCCUGUCAAAACGACACAAAUAGGAACAAGAAAGAUUUUUGUCAAUCCGUUUUUAUAGAUUUUGACUUGUUAUUGUAUUAUCUCAAUUUGCUGGACCAGGUAAGCGGAGCUGGCCAAGAAGA